CUUUUUUUUUUUUCACCCCCAAGUCAACAGUUCUGAGUGUGGUUUGUGCACUAUGGAACAAUCGGAGCCGAUGGUGCAGACUAUUUCUCCAGUUACCACAAGAUGGCAUUGCACUGGAGGGUAUGUUCUUUCUUGGACCUUGUUAUUUUUUCACCUGGAAUUACAGAUAAAAGUAACUUUAAAAAUGUGUCUUUGAAGAGAUGUAUGUGCGCUAUUAGAUGAGAUUCAGGCAUACAUCUGUACUUUUGAAUGGCAGUCUGGUCAAUACGUACCUGCUGAUCCUUGUGCUCUCCUCAGUUUUGUUCUUAUGCAGUGAACUCUUUGAGUUCUUUCGGUUAAUAUUUGUACAAAAUUCCAAAGCUUUCAUAUAAAUGGCUAGGAGUGGACGGACACAAUUGCUAGUAUUUCUUACACUUCCAAAGUUACCUUGAGAGUUUAUGAUUACUGUGUGUCACUAGAACAGCAGAAGGCGUGCAUACCAGGAUUUGUUGUUUCAUCUGAUAGCCUGGACUUGCUAAGAAAAAAAAAGAGAAGAGAAGAGAAGAGAAGAGAAGAGAAGAGAAGAGAAGAGAAGAGAAGAGAAGAGAAGAGAAGAGAAGAGAAGAGAAGAGAAGAGAAGAGAAGAGAAGAGAAGAGAAGAGAAGAGAAGAGGAGAAGAGAAGAGAAGAGAAGAGAAGAGAAGAGAAGAGAAGAGAAGAGAAGAGAAGAGAAGAGAAGAGAAGAGAAGAAAAGAAGCGAAAAGAAAAGAAAAGAAGUGAAAAGAAAAGAAAAGAAAAGAAAAGAAAAGAAAAGAAAAGAAAAGAAGUGAAAAGAAAAGAAAAGAAAAGAAAAGAAAAAAGAAAGGAAAAGAAAAGAAAAGAAAAGAAGCGAAAAGAAAAGAAAAGAAGCGAAAAGAAAAGAAGCGAAAAGAAAAGAAAAGAAAAGAAAAGAAAAGAAAAGAAAAGAAAAGAAAAGAAAAGAAAAGAAAAGAAAAGAAAAGGAAAGAAAAGAAAAGAAAAGAAGAGAAAAGAAAAGAAGAGAAAAGAAAAGAAGCGAAAAGAAAAGAAAAGAAAAGAAAAGAAAAAUAAGCCCUUAAUAUAGCAAUUCACUUUCUGGGAACUGUUGUUUAGAGCUAAAUUCCAGCUUUCUUAUGUAUUCUAGGAAUUGUAAUUUGCUAUAUGAGUGCUUGCAAAUCAGUAAACAGGUCUGUUUGUUUGCUGUACGGGGAUCAUUGCCAGGAAACUUUACACUCAGUACACUUGGUCUGAAACUCAGUUCAAAGAAUCAUGAGAAAAAUCACCCAGGAAUGUAUACGUAGGAAAAAAUUCCAAGUUGUCAGUGUAGACCUACGCUGUCCAGACCACAUCUGGAGAAGAAGAAAUCCAGCUGUACAUCUUCCAGUGAUCCUUCAGCUCCACUGCUUCAUCUUUGGGAUGACACACAUCACAGGUGAUUUAAUGUUUUCUUCCAUAGCUCAGGAGCAGACUGGUUAGUCACUGGGGAGCUCAGCA
ensembl:lncRNA